rnacentral:rRNA from 1 species
GACGAACGCUGGCGGCGUGCCUAAUACAUGCAAGUCGAGCGAAGCGGCGGAUGGGUGAGUAACGCCUGGGUAACCUGCCCUUCAGUCUGGGAUACCAUUUGGAAACAGAUGCUAAUACCGGAUACUAACGGAUGGACCUGCGAUGCAUUAGCUAGUUGGUAAGGUAACGGCUUACCAAGGCGAUGAUGACUAGCGGAGGUGAGAGACGGAUGGUCCACAUUGGGACUGAGAGACGGGCCAAAAUCCUACGGGAGGCAGCAGUAGAGAAUCUUCCACAAUGGGCGAAAUUCUGAUGGAGCAACGCCGCGGGAGUGAAGAAGGUUUUCGGAUCGUAAAGCUCUGUUGUUGAUGAGGCGGUAAUAAACCAGAAAGUAACGGCUAACUACGUGCCAGCCGCAGCGGUAAUUC